UACGUAGGGUGCAAGCGUUGUCCGGAAUUAUUGGGCGUAAAGAGCGUGUAGGCGGCCCCGAUAAGUCCGCCGUGAAAGCCCAGGGCUCAACCCUGGGAUGCCGGUGGAAACUGUCGGGCUAGAGUCCGGAAGAGGCGAGUGGAAUUCCUGGUGUAGCGGUGAAAUGCGCAGAUAUCAGGAAGAACACCCGUGGCGAAGGCGGCUCUCUGGGACGGUACUGACGCUGAGACGCGAAAGCGUGGGGAGCGAACAGG
rnacentral:rRNA from 1 species